ensembl:lncRNA
GUUAAAUGGAAGGGGCAAAGAGAUGUUCAUCCCUAAAGGGACACUUGCUCAUCCCCCAAAAGCAUGAAGAAACAGCAGCAGCAGUAAAUCAGCUCUGAAGAACCACUUCUGCUGUUUCCAUGGAAAGGAAAGGAGUUGGGAUAGAAAGAAGAAGAGAAUUAUCUGCAGGCUCCCCCAUAACAAUUGUAUUUCCUCUGCUGCGGUGGUUGGAAGAAGUGACAAUAGGAUCUUCUCACGAGCCAGCAGGAUGAGGAAG